rnacentral:lncRNA from 1 species
UUCAGGGUAAACUUUGUCUUCAUCAAAGAAUGGACAGUAGCCAGGUCCAGUGGCUCAGGCUGUAAUCCAGCACUUUGAGAGGUGGAGUUGGGAAGAUCCCUUGAGGCCCGGAGUUACAGACCAGCCUGGUCAAUAUAGUGGGACCCCAUCUCUUAAAAAAAAAAUAAAGAAAGAGAAAGGAAGGAGGGGAGGGGAGUGGAGGGGAGGGGAGGGGAGGCGAAAGGGAAGGGGGAAGUGUGGAGGGAUGGAGGGGGAAGGGGGAGGGAGGGAGGAAGGAAGAAAGGAAGGAGUUACAGUUACAGUUUGAAUGGAGGGAUGCCUCACUGUUGCCCCACAUGUGUUGCUGGGGCUUGCACCCCUUUGUU